rnacentral:rRNA from 1 species
GGGUGGGAACUCAAAGGAGACUGCCGGUGAUAAACCGGAGGAAGGUGGGGACGACGUCAAGUCAUCAUGGCCCUUACGAGUAGGGCUACACACGUGCUACAAUGGCGCAUACAUAGGGUAGCCAC